AAGAUGUCGAUCGGACCGUCUAUUCUCCUGACAGUGCUCUGUCUGCCCUGUUUUAGCAGCCAGAGUCUGGAGUCCAUUCCUUCCACUCCAGUGGUAAAAAACCCUCAGGAAGCUGUCAGUCUGUCCUGUAGAGGAUCUGGAUUUAACUUUGGUGGCUAUGGAAUGCACUGGGCGAGAGAAGCUCCAGGAAAACCAUUGGAGCACAUAGGUGCAAUUUGGUAUGACGCAAGUAAAACUGUUUACGACACCAUUGUUCAAGGACGCAUAGAGAUCACCAGAGACAACAGCAAAAGCAUGGUGUAUCUUAGACUGUCCAACCUGAAACCAGAGGACUCUGCUGUGUAUUACUGUACACGAAACACACAGUGGGUAAUAUGAGCACAGAGGCUGUACAAAAACUCCUCACAGAGCAGGCAGUGACAG